GCUGGGCAUGGUGCUGCACACCUGUAACCCGAGCAACUUGGGAGACUGAGGCAGGAGGAUCACAAAUCCAAGGCCAGCCUUGACAAUUUAGUAAGACCCUGUCUCAA
rnacentral:sRNA from 1 species